CAAAGCAGAUCCUGAGAGGAGGAUCCACUACAAGUGACUCACUGGGGAACUUUGGAAUACCAGUAAGAAAGGGAGGCAGACAAUACAGGGACUGGACACCAUGGGACACAUCUAUAUCUCAAUACCACCUCUGGCCUAGACAUGGAUGUCAUAAGAGCACAGGCUCCGGACACGCAGACUCAGCGGCCAUGGCUCACUGGCCCAGCCGCUCCGUGGCAUGUGGGAUCUUCCCGGACCAGGGCAC